rnacentral:rRNA from 1 species
GCUAGACAUAGCAGUAAUGCAGUUAACCAUUAAGUGUGCCGCCUGGGGAGUACGGUCGCAAGAUUAAAACUCAAAGGAAUAGACGGGGACCCGCACAAGCGGUGGAGCAUGUGGUUUAAUUCGACGAUACGCGAAGAACCUUACCUGGACUUGACAUAGAAAGAAUUACGCAGAGAUGUAUAAGUGCUAGCUUGCUAGAACUUUCAUACAGGUGCUGCACGGCUGUCGUCAGCUCGUGUCGUGAGAUGUUGGGUUAAGUCCCGCAACGAGCGCAACCCUCGUGUUUAGUUGCUAACAGUUCGGCUGAGAACUCUAAACAGACUGCCUGGGUAACCAGGAGGAAGGUGAGGACGACGUCAAGUCAUCAUGGCCCUUAUGUCCAGGGCUACACACGUGCUACAAUGGGGCAUACAAAGAGCAGCGAUACCGCGAGGUGGAGCAAAUCUCAAAAAUGCCUCCCAGUUCGGAUAGCACUCUGCAACUCGAGUGCUUGAAGUUGGAAUCGCUAGUAAUCGUAGAUCAGCAAUGCUACGGUGAAUACGUUCCCGGGUCUUGUACUCACCGCCCGUCACACCAUGGGAAUUGAAUUCAUUCGAAGCGGGGAUGCUAAAAUAGCUACCUUCCACAGUGGAUUUAGUAACUGGGGUGAAGUCGUAACAAGGUAGCCG